rnacentral:rRNA from 1 species
AGUGAACGCUGGCGGCAGGCCUAACACAUGCAAGUCGAGCGGCAGCGGGUCCUUCGGGAUGCCGGCGAGCGGCGGACGGGUGAGGAAUGCGUCGGAAUCUGCCUUUUUGUGGGGGGUAACGUAGGGAAACUUACGCUAAUACCGCAUACGACCUACGGGUGAAAGUGGGGGACCGCAAGGCCUCACGCAGAAAGAUGAGCCGACGUCGGAUUAGCUAGUUGGCGGGGUAAAGGCCCACCAAGGCGACGAUCCGUAGCUGGUCUGAGAGGAUGAUCAGCCACACUGGAACUGAGACACGGUCCAGACUCCUACGGGAGGCAGCAGUGGGGAAUAUUGGACAAUGGGCGCAAGCCUGAUCCAGCCAUGCCGCGUGUGUGAAGAAGGCCUUCGGGUUGUAAAGCACUUUUGUCCGGAAAGAAAUCCUGUCGGCUAAUACCCGGCGGGGAUGACGGUACCGGAAGAAUAAGCACCGGCUAACUUCGUG